UACGGGGGGGGCAAGCGUUGUUCGGAAUUACUGGGCGUAAAGGGCUCGUAGGCGGCCAACUAAGUCGGAUGUGAAAUCCCCAGGCUCAACCUGGGAACUGCAUCCGAUACUGGAUGGCUUGAAUCCGGGAGAGGGAUGCAGAAUUCCUGGUGUAGCGGUGAAAUGCGCAGAUAUCAGGAGGAACACCGGUGGCGAAGGCGGGUCUCUGGGCCGUAACUGACGCUGAGGAGCGAAAGCAUGGGGAGCGAACAGG
rnacentral:rRNA from 1 species